AACUUUCAACAACGGAUCUCUAGGCUCUCGCAUCGAUGAAGAACGCAGCGAAAUGCGAUAAGUAAUGUGAAUUGCAGAAUUCAGUGAAUCAUCGAAUCUUUGAACGCACCUUGCGCCCUUUGGUAUUCCGAAGGGCAUGCCUGUUUGAGUGUCAU
rnacentral:rRNA from 1 species